rnacentral:rRNA from 1 species
GUGGGGAAUCUUCCGCAAUGGACGAAAGUCUGACGGAGCAACGCCGCGUGAGUGAUGAAGGUUUUCGGACUGUAAAGCUCUGUUGUUUGGGACGAAAGUGCCUGUUGCGAACAGUUACGGGUAUUGACGGUACUAAACGAGGAAGCCACGGCUAACUACGUGCCAGCAGCCGCGGUAAUACGUAGGUGGCAAGCGUUGUCCGGAAUUAUUGGGCGUAAAGAGCAUGUAGGCGGGAAUCUAAGUAUGUUGUUAAAAUGCGGGGCUCAACCCCGUAUUGCGAUGGAAACUGGGUUUCUUGAGUGCAGGAGAGGAAAGGGGAAUUCCCAGUGUAGCGGUGAAAUGCGUAGAUAUUGGGAGGAACACCAGUGGCGAAGGCGCCUUUCUGGACUGUGUCUGACGCUGAGAUGCGAAAGCCAGGGUAGCGAACGGGAUUAGAAACCCGGGUAGUCC